rnacentral:rRNA from 1 species
UACGGGGGGAGCAAGCGUUGUUCGGAUUUACUGGGCGUAAAGGGCGCGUAGGCGGCCACCGCAAGUCGGUUGUGAAAUCUCCGGGCUUAACCCGGAAAGGUCAAUCGAUACUGCGGGGCUAGAGUGCAGAAGGGGCAACUGGAAUUCUCGGUGUAGCGGUGAAAUGCGUAGAUAUCGAGAGGAACACCUGCGGCGAAGGCGGGUUGCUGGGCUGACACUGACACUGAAGCGCGAAAGCUAGGGGAGCGAACGGG